rnacentral:lncRNA from 1 species
GUCCGUGCCCUGGAUGCGAACCAACGAAACACUGGGCCGCCUGCAGCGGAGCGCGCGAACUUAACACUCGGCCACUGGGCCAGCCCACCGUUAUCUUCUUUUGAGGGAAGGAAACUGAGGCUCAGUGGGGCUGGGAUCACACAGACCGUAAGUGAAGAGUUGCGUGUCUGGACAGCUGUUGUGGCGCCCUGGCCAUCCCAAAAGCUCCAGCAUUCCAUUUCAAGGAUCUCUUGCUGGCUUCCCUCCUACCAUCAUUCCUCUGAGAGAACGUGGCCUUGAGAACAAGGAGUGGAGAGCUGCCAGCUACUGCCACCUGACACAGAGCCUCAUUGCCCUUGCCUGUCUCCUUCCCCUGUCCAUCUUCAGUGUAGGGUCAAGAAGUGGGUCACUCCUUCCUUUUAUCCGAGGUGGACUUCUUGUUUUCUCCCCCCAGAGGUUGCCACGUGUCUAAUUGCCCAUCAAGCUAGAGUGGUGGAGGGAAAUUGGUAUCAAAGAGUUUUUGCUGAAUGCUUGAAUGGACGACGGCUUAGAGAACUGACUGAAGUUUGAGCGGGAAACAGGAAGACAAGGCCAACGUCAUUUAGCCCACCAAAUACCUUCAUGCCCUUUGGGAAGAAGAAAGAUGAAUAUGGAAGAAGCAGAAAAGGAUGAGUUUAAAUUGAGGCAUAAAGAACAUAGAACUAAAUAAGUAAGACCUCAAAAGUCCCUUAGUCAUCAUCUAAUCCAGACCUUUAUUUUUUUAGCAGAGGGCAUCAAACCCCCAAGGGGAUCGUGACCUUAGUGACCUCCUUAAGAUCAC